rnacentral:rRNA from 1 species
UAAGGAAUAUUGGUCAAUGGACGCAAGUCUGAACCAGCCAUGCCGCGUGGAGGAUGAAGGUCCUCUGGAUUGUAAACUUCUUUUAUCUGGGAAGAAAUCCAUUUUUUCUAAAAUGGUUGACGGUACCAGAUGAAUAAGCACCGGCUAACUCCGUGCCAGCAGCCGCGGUAAUACGGAGGGUGCAAGCGUUAUCCGGAUUUACUGGGUUUAAAGGGUGCGUAGGCGGAUAGGUAAGUCAGUGGUGAAAUCUCCGAGCUUAACUCGGAAACUGCCGUUGAUACUAUUUAUCUUGAAUACCGUGGAGGUGAGCGGAAUAUGUCAUGUAGCGGUGAAAUGCUUAGAUAUGACAUAGAACACCGAUUGCGAAGGCAGCUCACUACGCGGUCAUUGACGCUGAGGCACGAAAGCGUGGGGAUCAAACAGGAUUAGAUACCCUGGUAGUCCACGCCCUAACGAUGAUCACUCGACAUACGCGAUAUACAG